rnacentral:rRNA from 1 species
UACAGAGGGGGCAAGCGUUGUUCGGAAUUACUGGGCGUAAAGGGCGCGUAGGCGGCCUGUUAAGUCGAACGUGAAAUCCCCGGGCUCAACCCGGGAACUGCGUCCGAUACUGGCAGGCUUGAAUCCGGGAGAGGGAUGCGGAAUUCCAGGUGUAGCGGUGAAAUGCGCAGAUAUCAGGAGGAACACCGGUGGCGAAGGCGGGGUCUCGUGGCCGAUACUGACGCUGGAGGAGCGAAAGCGUGGGAGC